UACGGAGGGUGCAAGCGUUAAUCGGAAUUACUGGGCGUAAAGCGUGCGUAGGCGGUUCGUUAAGUCUGCUGUGAAAGCCCCCGGGCUCAACCUGGGAAUGGCAGUGGAUACUGGCGAGCUAGAGUGUGAUAGAGGAUGGUGGAAUUCCCGGUGUAGCGGUGAAAUGCGUAGAGAUCGGGAGGAACAUCAGUGGCGAAGGCGGCCAUCUGGAUCAACACUGACGCUGAGGCACGAAAGCGUGGGGAGCAAACAGG
rnacentral:rRNA from 1 species